rnacentral:rRNA from 1 species
AGAGACAGCAGCCGCCGCGGGAAUACCGAGGGUGCGAGCGUUAAUCGGAUUUACUGGGCGUAAAGCGUGCGUAGGCGGCUUUUUAAGUCGGAUGUGAAAUCCCUGAGCUUAACUUAGGAAUUGCAUUCGAUACUGGGAAGCUAGAGUAUGGGAGAGGAUGGUAGAAUUCCAGGUGUAGCGGUGAAAUGCGUAGAGAUCUGGAGGAAUACCGAUGGCGAAGGCAGCCAUCUGGCCUAAUACUGACGCUGAGGUACGAAAGCAUGGGGAGCAAACAGGAUUAGAUACCCCGGUAGUCCCUGUCUCUUAUAC